rnacentral:tRNA from 1 species
GCGGGUAUGGCGGAACUGGCAGACGCGCAAGAUUUAGGAUCUUGUACCGUAAGGCGUGCAGGUUCGAUUCCUGUUACCCGCACCA